CAGCAGCCGCGGGAAUACAGAGGGUGCAAGCGUUAAUCGGAAUUACUGGGCGUAAAGCGCGCGUAGGUGGUUCGCCAAGUUGGAUGUGAAAUCCCCGGGCUCAACCUGGGAACUGCAUCCAAAACUGGCGAGCUAGAGUAUGGUAGAGGGUGGUGGAAUUUCCUGUGUAGCGGUGAAAUGCGUAGAUAUAGGAAGGAACAUCAGUGGCGAAGGCGACCACCUGGACUGAUACUGACACUGAGGUGCGAAAGCGUGGGGAGCAAACAGGAUUAGAUACCCCAGUAGUCCCUGUCUCUUAUAC
rnacentral:rRNA from 1 species